rnacentral:lncRNA from 1 species
CGUCGCUGAUUGCGCCGCGCGGAUGUUCGGAUACACGUGCGGCAUAUACGCUGACACGCCAAGGACACGCUUUCGAUAAAAGAAUCGCGCGGGUUGCCUGUUGCCACUGCGGUCUUUGCCUUCAAAUAGCGAGAAGAAUGUGACACGUGAAAUGUUUGGUCGACGAGCCUCACCUUCACAUGAAGAGGCCGUACACCCUGAGCAUUGGCGCAUUUGAGGACCUUAAACAAGCCAUUGCGGUGUGCCCCAUCUUGGGAAACCUCGUCGCGCUGUCUACGUCUAGAUUUUCAGGUUAUGGACAUGAACUUUGAUGAGUACGUCGACCUUGGCCCUGGUGAUGAUAUACCACACAUGGCAAAGAUUAAAUUGGCUGCCUUUCAGUCGCCCACCUCUGGAUGGCUCGUCAUCAUCGACAUGUGACGUUGAGAAUGCUGAAGAGCAGGACUCGUGGAAGAUAGCGCUCGGAAACAAAUUCAAGAAUGCAAGGAGGCAUAUGACAGAUGAGCGCCUAAAGGAGAAUAGACAGAAGUUUGCCACAAAGAAGACAUCCACAAGGGAAUUGGAUGACAAACUCCGAAGGAACAA